GUUGAUACCGCAAUACCAUCCCGUCACCCACACGAGGGUAGUGGCCCGGAGGACGCACCGGUUAGUCCUUCUGUUGCAUCGAUCGAGGGUUCUCCCCGAACACCUUCCCCGGAAGUUCAGGACGAGCGAUUAUGGUUACUUGCUGAUAUCCCGAG